GAUGAACGCUGGCGGCGUGCCUAAUACAUGCAAGUCGAGCGAACAGACGAGGAGCUUGCUCCUCUGACGUUAGCGGCGGACGGGUGAGUAACACGUGGAUAACCUACCUAUAAGACUGGGAUAACUUCGGGAAACCGGAGCUAAUACCGGAUAAUAUAUUGAACCGCAUGGUUCAAUAGUGAAAGACGGUUUUGCAGUCACUUAUAGAUGGAUCCGCGCCGCAUUAGCUAGUUGGUAAGGUAACGGCUUACCAAGGCAACGAUGCGUAGCCGACCUGAGAGGGUGAUAGGCCACACUGGAAGUGAGACACGGACCAGACUCCUACGGGAGGCAGCAGUAGGGAAUCUUCCGCAAUGGGCGAAAGCCUGACGGAGCAACGCCGCGUGAGUGAUGAAGGUCUUCGGAUCGUAAAACUCUGUUAUUAGGGAAGAACAAAUGUGUAAGUAACUAUGCACGUCUUGACGGUACCUAAUCAGAAAGCCACGGCUAACUACGUG
rnacentral:rRNA from 1 species